rnacentral:rRNA from 1 species
GACGAACCGUGCGAACGUUGUUCGGAUUCACUGGGCUUAAAGGGCGCGUAGGCGGCAGGCCAAGUCUGUGGUGAAAAGCGUCGGCUCAACCGGCGCCGGGCCGUGGAUACUGGCUUGCUCGAGGGGCGUAGGGGUCGGUGGGAACUGCCAGUGGAGCGGUGAAAUGCGUUGAUAUUGGCAGGAACGCCGGUGGCGAAGCGCACGACGUGGCGCUUACUGACGCUGAGGCGCGAAAGCUAGGGGAGCAACGGGG